GCCGGGUGCAGUGGUGUGCACCUAUAGUCUCAGCUACUUGGGAGGCUGAGGCAGGAGGAUCCCUUGAGCCCAUGAGUUUGAGGCUGCAGUGAGCUAGGAUCGUAGCACUGCACUCCAGCCUGGGCAACAGAGUGAGACCCUGUCUCAA
rnacentral:SRP_RNA from 1 species